CAGGGUCAAGGUGGACCUGGUGUUUGAAUCCAGUAUCAGCAGUCAGGAGGAGUCUGAUUGUUGUUGUAUUUUGGAUGCGGUCAUCAGAGUUGCCAGGCUACUCAUGUCAUGAAAUACACAGAACUGUAAGACUCUGAGGUCAAAGGAAGCUUCCUAGGAGUGUUAAUUAUUCUAUCAGGUGGAGUUCAAAGGAGCAUAUUCUACAUCUCUAUCUUCACAUUUCAUCAGAUAAUUAAGGAAACAUCAAAGGUAUGGCUCUCUUCACUAGUCCUCACCCCUGAGCUCCUAUGUGUGUAUGCAUUUUCAAGAAUGUGCAGAAUGAAGCAUAUUGUGCUGAACAAAAUUUUCAAGAUAAGGCCUCCCAUUUAUAUUGAAUGCUGAAGAGUAACCGGAUGGAUAAACUAAUGCGAAACUAUCUGCUGGAUACAGUUAAUGGCCAACAUUUACUGGAUAUUUACCAUGUCGGGAAUUGGGAAUAAUGUUCAAUCUUUUA